UCCCUGGUGGCUCAGACAGUAAAGAAUCUGCCUGCAAUGCAGGCGACCCAGGUUCAAUCCCUGGGUCGGGAA
rnacentral:tRNA from 1 species